rnacentral:rRNA from 1 species
UACAGAGGUCCCGAGCGUUUGUUCGGAUUCACUGGGCGUAAAGGGUGCGCAGGUGGGUUGGCAAGUUUGAUGUGAAAGCCCCGGGCUUAACCCGGGAAUGGCAUUGAAUACUGCUGAUCUGGAGGAUCGGAGGGGGGACUGGAAUUCUUGGUGUAGCAGUGAAAUGCGUAGAUAUCAAGAGGAACACCAGUGGCGAAGGCGAGUCCCUGGACGAUACCUGACACUGAGGCACGAAAGCCAAGGGAGCAAACAGG